AUGAACGCUAGCGGGAGGCCUAACACAUGCAAGCCGAGCGGUAUUGUUUCUUCGGAAAUGAGAGAGCGGCGUACGGGUGCGUAACACGUGUGCAACCUGCCUUUAUCUGGGGGAUAGCCUUUCGAAAGGAAGAUUAAUACUCCAUAAUAUAUUGAACGGCAUCGUUUAAUAUUGAAAGCUCCGGCGGAUAGAGAUGGGCACGCGCAAGAUUAGCUAGUUGGCGAGGUAACGGCUCACCAAGGCGAUGAUCUUUAGGGGGCCUGAGAGGGUGAUCCCCCACACUGGUACUGAGACACGGACCAGACUCCUGCGGGAGGCAGCAGUGAGGAAUAUUGGUCAAUGGGUGCAAGCCUGAACCAGCCAUCCCGCGUGAAGGACGACUGCCCUAUGGGUUGUAAACUUCUUUUGUAUAGGGAUAAACCUACCCUCGAGAGGGUAGCUGAAGGUACUAUACGAAUAAGCACCGGCUAACUCCGUG
rnacentral:rRNA from 1 species